CCGCUUGCGGGGGUGAUUAGUGGCGAACGGGUGAGUAAUACGUGAGUAACCUGCCCUUGACUCUGGGAUAAGCCUGGGAAACCGGGUCUAAUACUGGAUACUACUCCUUAUCGCAUGGUGGGGGGUGGAAAGGGUUUUACUGGUUUUGGAUGGGCUCACGGCCUAUCAGCUUGUUGGUGGGGUAAUGGCUCACCAAGGCGACGACGGGUAGCCGGCCUGAGAGGGUGACCGGCCACACUGGGACUGAGACACGGCCCAGACUCCUACGGGAGGCAGCAGUGGGGAAUAUUGCACAAUGGGCGGAAGCCUGAUGCAGCGACGCCGCGUGAGGGAUGACGGCCUUCGGGUUGUAAACCUCUUUCAGCAGGGAAGAAGCCACAAGUGACGGUACCUGCAGAAGAAGCGCCGGCUAACUACGUGCCAGCAGCCGCGGUAAUACGUAGGGCGCAAGCGUUGUCCGGAAUUAUUGGGCGUAAAGAGCUCGUAGGCGGUUUGUCGCGUCUGCUGUGAAAGCCCGGGGCUCAACCCCGGGUCUGCAGUGGGUACGGGCAGACUAGAGUGCAGUAGGGGAGACUGGAAUUCCUGGUGUAGCGGUGAAAUGCGCAGAUAUCAGGAGGAACACCGAUGGCGAAGGCAGGUCUCUGGGCUGUUACUGACGCUGAGGAGCGAAAGCAUGGGGAGCGAACAGGAUUAGAUACCCUGGUAGUCCAUGCCGUA
rnacentral:rRNA from 1 species